CUUCUGAGAAUGAGCAGAGAAAAUCAUAUCCUUUAUGGUGUUCUUUCCUUCUUAUUUCCUAAAGUGAGAAAAAAGUAUUAGUCUUUGGAAAAAAGUUGCUCAUCUAAGAUUUAUAUGUAAUGCCCAACAUGCAGUUGCCAAUUAGAAAAAGAAUCAUACUGAACAAAAAACAACAUAAAACUAGAAAAAAUGGAGGGAAACAAUCAAAUAGAGGUAGUAGCGCCUGUGCCUCUAACUGUUGGUUUCUCUGGCUAAGCUCUGCGACUUGGGCUUUCAAAGACGUUAAAUACUCCCUUGUUCGAAUACGUACCUUGGCUUCUGGAGGAAGAAGUUUUCUCAAUGCCUCAAAGCUUUCAUUAAUCUUUUCGCGUCUUCUACGCUCCGAUAUCAUAUGGUGCAUCUGAGAGCUAGUAGGGGUGGAGCGGCUUGC